rnacentral:rRNA from 1 species
GAUGAACGCUGGCGGCGUGCCUAAUACAUGCAAGUCGAGCGAACGGACGAGAAGCUUGCUUCUCUGAUGUUAGCGGCGGACGGGUGAGUAACACGUGGAUAACCUACCUAUAAGACUGGGAUAACUUCGGGAAACCGGAGCUAAUACCGGAUGAUAUUUUGAACCGCAUGGUUCAAAAGUGAAAGACGGUCUUGCUGUCACUUAUAGAUGGAUCCGCGCUGCAUUAGCUAGUUGGUAAGGUAACGGCUUACCAAGGCAACGAUGCAUAGCCGACCUGAGAGGGUGAUCGGCCACACUGGAACUGAGACACGGUCCAGACUCCUACGGGAGGCAGCAGUAGGGAAUCUUCCGCAAUGGGCGAAGGCCUGACGGAGCAACGCCGCGUGAGUGAUGAAGGUCUUCGGAUCGUAAAACUCUGUUAUUAGGGAAGAACAUAUGUGUAAGUAACUGUGCACAUCUUGACGGUACCUAAUCAGAAGGCCACGGCUAACUACGUG